rnacentral:rRNA from 1 species
GGGUGAGUAAUGUCUGGGAAACUGCCUGAUGGAGGGGGAUAACUACUGGAAACGGUAGCUAAUACCGCAUAACGUCGCAAGACCAAAGAGGGGGACCUUCGGGCCUCUUGCCAUCGGAUGUGCCCAGAUGGGAUUAGCUAGUAGGUGGGGUAAAGGCUCACCUAGGCGACGAUCCCUAGCUGGUCUGAGAGGAUGACCAGCCACACUGGAACUGAGACACGGUCCAGACUCCUACGGGAGGCAGCAGUGGGGAAUAUUGCACAAUGGGCGCAAGCCUGAUGCAGCCAUGCCGCGUGUGUGAAGAAGGCCUUCGGGUUGUAAAGCACUUUCAGCGGGGAGGAAGGGAGCAGACUUAAUACGUCUGUUCAUUGACGUUACCCGCAGAAGAAGCACCGGCUAACUCCGUGCCAGCAGCCGCGGUAAUACGGAGGGUGCAAGCGUUAAUCGGAAUGACUGGGCGUAAAGCGCACGCAGGCGGUCUGUUAAGUUGGAUGUGAAAUCCCCGGGCUUAACCUGGGAACUGCAUUCAAAACUGACAGGCUAGAGUCUCGUAGAGGGGGGUAGAAUUCCAGGUGUAGCGGUGAAAUGCGUAGAGAUCUGGAGGAAUACCGGUGGCGAAGGCGGCCCCCUGGACGAAGACUGACGCUCAGGUGCGAAAGCGUGGGGAGCAAACAGGAUUAGAUACCCUGGUAGUCCACGCUGUAAACGAUGUCGAUUUGGAGGUUGUGCCCUUGAGGCGUGGCUUCCGGAGCUAACGCGUUAAAUCGACCGCCUGGGGAGUACGGCCGCAAGGUUAAAACUCAAAUGAAUUGACGGGGGCCCGCACAAGCGGUGGAGCAUGUGGUUUAAUUCGAUGCAACGCGAAGAACCUUACCUACUCUUGACAUCCAGAGAAGCCUGCAAAGAUGCGGGUGUGCCUUCGGGAGCUCUGAGACAGGUGCUGCAUGGCUGUCGUCAGCUCGUGUUGUGAAAUGUUGGGUUAAGUCCCGCAACGAGCGCAACCCUUAUCCUUGGUUGCCAGCCUUUCGGGUGGGAACUCAAGGGAAACUUGCCGGUGAUAAACCGGAAGAAAGGUGGGGGAUUGACGUCAAGUCAUCAUGGGCCCUUUACNAAGUAGGGCUACCNACCUGGCUACAAUGGGCGUAUACAANAGAGAAACGGACCUCCCGNGAGAGCAAGCGGGACCUCUNAAAAGUACCCUCCUAAUCCCGGGAUNGGGAUUU